rnacentral:rRNA from 1 species
GACGAACGCUGGCGGCGUGCUUAACACAUGCAAGUCGAACGGAAAGGCCCUGCUUUCGUGGGGUGCUCGAGUGGCGAACGUGUGUGUAACACGUGAGUAACCUGCCUUUCACUUUGGGAUAACUUCAGGAAACUGGGGAUAAUACCGGAUAGGAGCUCCUGCUGCAUGGUGGGUGUUGGAAAGUUUCGGCGGUUGGGGAUGGACUCGCGGCUUAUCAGCUUGUUGGUGGGGUAGUGGCUUACCAAGGCGUUGACGGGUAGCCGGCCUGAGAGGGUGAGCGGGCACACUGGGAGUGAGAGACGGCGCCGAGUCCUACGGGAGGGAGCAGUGGGGAAUAUUGGACAAUGGGGGAAAGCCUGAUGCAGAGAAGCCGCGUGGGGGAUGACGGCCUUCGGGGGGUAAAACGCUUUCAGGCGGGAAGAAGAGAGAGUGACGGUACCUGGAGAAGAAGCACCGGGUAAAUACGUG